CCUGGCCACGGAUAAUUACCGCGGGAGCUAGGCUGGGUACAGCGUUUGGGAUGGUGAUUGGAGUCGUGGUCGUCCGAGGGUUGACAUCGUGAGGCCUGCCCUCCUAGAUGUUGCUUAUGAAUGUUGGAGGACACAGUGAAUAGAAAAGUAUGGCUAAACCAGCAUUUCCCAAAGGUUGUUCUGUGGAAUGCUAGCCCUGUAAGAUGAUUCUUUCAACAGAAGUUUCUGUGAUCAAGAACAAAACAGCAGCGGAAUUACAGAACCCAAAAAUGGACUAACAGGAACUUGAUUUGACUCUCUCACAGGAGGACAACUUUACUAUACCAAAAUCCAUCACCAUCAUCAACAACAACUAAAGUUCUGACUCUGCUGACUAUAAACAUCCUAUUUGCAUACUUACUUUUGCAUAAGUGGUCUGCAGUUGCUGCAGUAUACUCAUUUCCUUGCCACCCGUAUUGCUCCUUUGUAUUCAUUUUGUCGGUUUUUUUAUUCUCAUCUACACCAACUUAAAUCUCACCUAUUUUUUUAAUACUCAGCUUAAGACUUACCUCUCCCACGAAGCCUUCUCUGGGCCUUGUAACUGGAGAAGCUUCCUUGAAAGAGCCAACAUUGUCUGCUGCUCCUAGGACAUUCAUCUUAAACUGCAUUCUACUUCUAUGCAAUGCCACAGGUUUAAUUUCCCUAACAUUGUCUGGGUUCAGUAAAUAUUGGUUGAAUGAGCAUUAAUAAAUUGAUUAAUUUAAUUUACAGAUGGGGAUGGCACAAGAAAAAAAAUGGUUUUACAAAAUAAACUUUUUUCCAUAAUCACUCUAAUAAUUCAUUUUAAAUGCUAUCUCUAUUCAUGUCUUGCCACUUGCAUGAAUGAAGUUACCGGCAAUUUGGUUAGCUUCAGUCUGUAGCUAGCAGGAUAUUAUUAGAAAUGGUGAUGGUGAUAUAGCCUUAGUUCUCUGCCUCUAUUGCGGGAGGAAACUACUGCCAUAAUAUCGUAUGUGUUACUGAAGUCUCGAUGCCUCCAAUGAAACUUCAAGGGAAUUGCAAGACACCUCUGAGAGACUGGUUUCAAAACCAAUUCCAGAGUGGAUUACUAAGGACUACAAAUGGCAAUUUUUGGUUUACUUCCACAUUGUUCUGAUAUUCUUCAUUUUGUCAUGUUUUUUAGCUGGUACUAGUUAUCACUGUGGUUUAUCAAAUAGCAUCCUCAUUUCAACUGAGAAUGAAGAGGUUCUUGGAUAAAGAACCUGUAAAAAUCAGGUACAAUAAUACUUAUGGAUGGUUCUUGAAAUUUGCUAAAAUGAAAUGCUGCAUCUAAG